rnacentral:rRNA from 1 species
UACGUAGGUGGCAAGCGUUGUCCGGAAUUACUGGGCGUAAAGCGUGCGUAGGCGGUGCCUCAAGUUUGGUGUGAAAUCUCCCGGCUCAACCGGGAGGGUGCGCCGAAAACUGAGGUGCUCGAGUGUGGGAGAGGUAAGCGGAAUUCCUGGUGUAGCGGUGAAAUGCGUAGAUAUCAGGAGGAACACCGGCGGUGUAGACGGCUUACUGGACCAUAACUGACGCUGAGGCACGAAAGUGUGGGGAGCAAACAGG